rnacentral:tRNA from 1 species
AUUUAAGUAGCUUAAUAGAGCAUUGUACUGAAGAUACAAAGGUAAAUUAUAUUUCUUAAAUA